rnacentral:rRNA from 1 species
UACGUAGGGGGCGAGCGUUGUCCGGAAUCAUUGGGCGUAAAGCGCGUGUAGGCGGCUCGUUAAGUCCGGUGUGAAACCUUGGGGCUCAACCCCAAGCCUGCACUGGAUACUGCCGAGCUAGAGUCCGGGAGGGGAGAGCGGAAUUCCUAGUGUAGCGGUGAAAUGCGCAGAUAUUAGGAAGAACACCGGUGGCGAAGGCGGCUCGCUGGACCAGCACUGACGCUGAGGCACGAAAGCGUGGGGAGCAAACAGG